rnacentral:tRNA from 1 species
GGAAGGGUGCUGGAGCGGCCGAACAGGCACGCCUGGAGAGCGUGUGGCGGUCUACACCGCCCGUGGGUUCAAAUCCCACCCCUUCCGCCA